GAGGGUAUAGCUCAGUGAUAGAGCAUGCACUUAGCAUGCGGGAGGUCCUUGGUUCAAUUCCUAAUACCUCCA
rnacentral:tRNA from 1 species